GACGAACGCUGGCGGCGUGCUUAACACAUGCAAGUCGAACGGAAAGGCCCUUCGGGGUACUCGAGUGGCGAACGGGUGAGUAACACGUGGGUGAUCUGCCCUGCACUUUGGGAUAAGCCUGGGAAACUGGGUCUAAUACCGGAUAGGACCACGGCAUUCAUGUGCUGUGGUGGAAAGCUUUUGCGGUGUGGGAUGGGCCCGCGGCCUAUCAGCUUGUUGGUGGGGUAAUGGCCUACCAAGGCGACGACGGGUAGCCGGCCUGAGAGGGUGACCGGCCACAAUGGGACUGAGAUACGGCCCAGACUCCUACGGGAGGCAGCAGUGGGGAAUAUUGCACAAUGGGCGCAAGCCUGAUGCAGCGACGCCGCGUGAGGGAUGACGGCCUUCGGGUUGUAAACCUCUUUCGCCAGGGACGAAGCGCAAGUGACGGUACCUGGAGAAGAAGGACCGGCCAACUACGUG
rnacentral:rRNA from 1 species